rnacentral:rRNA from 1 species
UACGUAUAGUGCAAGCGUUAUCCGGAUUUACUGGGCGUAAAGGGAGCGCAGGCGGCGCGCCAAGUCUGAUGUGAAACCCCGGGGCUCAACCCCGGGCAUGCAUUGGAAACUGGCGGGCUGGAGUGCCGGAGAGGUAAGCGGAAUUCCUAGUGUAGCGGUGAAAUGCGUAGAUAUUAGGAGGAGCACCAGUGGCGAAGGCGGCUUACUGGACGGCAACUGACGCUGAGGCUCGAAAGCGUGGGGAGCAAACAGG